rnacentral:rRNA from 1 species
UACGUAGGGUGCGAGCGUUAAUCGGAAUUACUGGGCGUAAAGCGUGUGCAGGCGGUUUGUUAAGACAGGUGUGAAAUCCCCGGGCUUAACCCUGGGAAUUGCGCUUGUUACUGGCAAGCUAGAGUGCGUCAGAGGGAGGUGGAAUUCCACGUGUAGCAGUGAAAUGCGUAGAGAUGUGGAGGAACACCGAUGGCGAAGGCAGCCUCCUGGGAUGACACUGACGCUCAUACACGAAAGGCGUGGGGAGCAAACAGG